UACGAAGGGGGCUAGCGUUGCUCGGAAUUACUGGGCGUAAGGCGCACGUAGGCGGCUUUCUAAGUCGGGGGUGAAAUCCUGGAGCUCAACUCCAGAACUGCCUUCGAUACUGGAGAGCUUGAGUCCGGGAGAGGUGAGUGGAACUGCGAGUGUAGAGGUGAAAUUCGUAGAUAUUCGCAAGAACACCAGUGGCGAAGGCGGCUCACUGGCCCGGUACUGACGCUGAGACGCGAAAGCGUGGGGAGCGAACAGG
rnacentral:rRNA from 1 species